AACAAUUGUCAAAGUGGCAUGUGGGACAAAUCACACAUGUGCUUGUUUUUUCCAUUAUUGAUCUCAAUUAUUUAAUCUUUUCUUUCAUCUACUCAUUAUUUCUUUUUGAAUGUUUACUGGCGGUGGAUAAGAAUGGCUUUGUCUACUUCUGGGGAUUUGGUGGUUAUGGAAGGUUUGUGCAUAAUUUUCAGAUUGGUUGUUA